rnacentral:rRNA from 1 species
GUCUUUUUGAAAUAAUUUAAAGUCUAAUCUGCCCACUGAUAAAAUUAAAGGGCUGCAGUAUAAUGACUGUACAAAGGUAGCAUAAUCAUUAGUUUUUUAAUUGGAAACUUGUAUGAAAGAUUUGAUGAAAUAUAAGCUGUCUCUAAUUUAUUAAUUGAAUUUUAUUUUUUAGUAAAAAAGCUAAAAUAAAUUUAAAAGACGAGAAGACCCUAUAGAGUUUUAUAUUUUAUUUUAUUUAAAAAUUGUAUAAAAAUUAAUAUUUAAAUAAAAUUAAUUAUUUUAUUGGGGUGAUAGAAAAAUUAAAUGAACUUUUUUUAAAAAUUAAACAUAAAUAAAUGAUUAAAUGAUCCAUAAAUAAUGAUUAUAAGAAAAAAUUACCUUAGGGAUAACAGCGUAAUAUUUUUUUUUAGUUCAAAUAAAAAAAAAAGUUUGCGACCUCGAUGUUGGAUUAAGAUAAAAUUUAAAUGCAAAAGUUUAAAAUUUUGAUCUGUUCGAUCAUUAAAAUCUUACA